rnacentral:ncRNA from 2 species
ACCACCCACGCGGGAGAGACCGCCCGGAAACCACCCGGACGGCGCCGAAGGGGCAGAUUCUCCCCGGAACCUCUCAGGCAAAAGGACCGCGUGGGCAGG